AGUGAACGCUGGCGGUAGGCCUAACACAUGCAAGUCGAACGGCAGCACAGUAAGAGCUUGCUCUUACGGGUGGCGAGUGGCGUACGGGUGAGGAAUACUUCGGAAUCUACUUUUUCGUGGGGGAUAACGUAGGUAAACUUACGCUAAUACCGCAUACGACCUACGGGUGAGAGCAUGGGAUCUUUUGACCUUGCGCGGAUGAAUGAGCCGAUGUCGGAGUUGCUAGUUGGCGGGGUAAAGGCCCACCAAGUGGACGAUCCGUGGCUUGUCUGGGAGAAUGAUCAGCCACACUGGAACUGAGACACGCUCCAGACUCCUACGGGAGGCAGCAGUGGGGAAUAGUGGACAACGGGCGCAAGCCUGAUCCAGCCAUACCGCGUGGGUGAAGAAGGCCUUCGGGUUGUAAAGCCCUUUUGUUGGGAAAGAACAGCAGCAGGUUAAUACCCCGCUGUUCUGACGGUACCCAAAGAAUAAGCACCGGCUAACUUCGUG
rnacentral:rRNA from 1 species